rnacentral:lncRNA from 1 species
CUACCGGAAAUCACAUCGAUUACAUUUUACACACAUACGAUUGGAACUUCCUACGAUCCUUCCGAAUGUGCAGAAAAAUUGAAAGCAGAGGAGGAUAAUGAGCCAUGUCCUAGCAAUGCAACAAAGACAGAGGGAUGCAUGGCGUAUGGUUUGCAUACACGCAGAAGGUGCAGAGAUCGUUAGCGGAGCGGACGGCGGCCUCGAUGUCGAUCCCAGUUCCCAAAGCCUUCGGCUGCGUCCACAGCGGAGAGAUGAGCGCACGGGAGGAAGCAGUACUGCAGCUACAACCUGCAAAACUAAGGAAGAUGCAGCUUACAGUUUCCCCUCAAAGACCGCUCGCGGCAGCACGCUGCUCUUGCCGCAUGGCCGUGACUGGCAGCAUCAGGUCGGCUCUAGCGGGGGAUACCAAAUCAAGUUGCUGCCUCAACAUCUCCCGAGAUGAUGGUAAGGAGCCCGUUGGCUGGAAGAGGGGGAAGGCUGUUAGUGCAACCAAACGGAGGGUGGAGAAGAGGGACGGCCGCCGAUGAUGAAUACAGGUCGGUUGGACUGAAAAGCCAGCUUGCAGGACCCCGCGACGACAUCUAAGGAAGCGGAGGAGGUAAAGGAUUAUAAGAAGAACGCAAAGGAGGCGAGAUCGUGGGGACGGAUCUGACGAGGUGUGGGAUACCCCUGGCUAAACUUUAGCACAUAUUAUAUUGGAUGUUUGGAUACUAAUAAGAAGUAUUAAACAUAGUUUAAUUACAAAACUUAAUUAGAUUUAAUAGAUUCAUGUCGUGAAUUAGACUCCAUCUAUUCAAUUAGUUUUGUAAUUAGCUCAUGUUUGAUCCUUCUAAUUAGUAUCCGAACAUCCGAUGUGAUCCUACUAAAGUUUAGCACCACGUAUUCAAACAUCCUCGGGAAGAGAGAGAGGGGAUGGCAGUAGCAUUGGCAGCAUGCGGAGGCUUCGAUUUCUUCGCGACGCAAGGACGACGCCUCGUGUAGGAGGCACGUGAACUGGCGGACACGCGGCAAUCAACGCCUGCCGCCCAGCAUCGACGGCGCGAUUGGCUACCAGCGCAAUGCUGAAGCCACGCGGCGAGCAAGCAUGCGCCGAAAACGGAUGGUCCCCGAUUCUUUAUGCAAUAUAACUACCUACUAUAGGUAGGCUUACGUGGUGAUAAAGUUUGGACAAGUUUUAGGUCCUGUUUAGAUAUACAAUGCUAAACUUUAGCACAUUGCUAAAUUUUAGCACCCUCAAAUGGAGUGCUAAAGUUUAGUACUUGAGGUUGUUUGGAUACAGUGCUAAAGUUUAGCACAUUGGGUGAGAAAUGACUACAUUACCCUCAUUUAUGACUGGCUUGGGGAAAAGUGGAGAGGAGAGAGAGGGGGCAACUAGGGAAAAAGUGAGCUUGGGGACCACUUUUAGCACCCAUCAGCACCUUUUAGCACACCUUGGAUGUGCUAAAGAAAACAAGGGUGCUAACUUUAGCAAACACCUUUUAGCACCCCUGUUUGGGAGUUCAAGUGCUAAAAGUGUGCUAAAAGUGAGGUGCUAAAGUUUAGCACCCCUUUCCAAACACCCCCUUAACCAUGUAAAAAAGUUGCUGGGAGCUGUUACCAUCCAUAAGCUAGCUGAAUCAGCCUGUUCAUCUCCAAUAUUGAUACAUGCCUCUACAGUUCUCCUGCUUGCUGUGACAGUGUGGGGGUAGCACUGCUUGCUGUGCUAAACGUGUGUAAGCUUGAUGCAAACUGUGUGUAUAAGAGUAUCUCCAAUAGUAGCCUAAAAUCAGUUCUAGUAUAGGAGAGAGAAAAAUUUAGAUAUUUUAAAACUGUCCUCUCAAACAGCAUAUCUAAAAUUGACGACCUAUAAUCCUUUCAAGGACUAAUUUACAAAUAAAAUCUUUUUUCAAGGACUAAUUCAUAACUUACACUCAUCUUCUUCGACUCUUCUUCCUCUCAUCCCGCCGUCGGCUCCCACCUUGAGCCGCCGCUCGCCCCACCCAUGCAGGCGUG